rnacentral:rRNA from 1 species
UUAAGUGGGCUUAUUAACCUGCAGCUCUGGCCUGGUUUCCCACUGAAGCUAAGCAGGGUUGAGCCUGGCCAGUACCUGGAUGGGAGACCUCCUGGAGAAAACUAAGGUUGCUGCUGGAA